GAGGAAUAUUGGUCAAUGGGCGAGAGCCUGAACCAGCCAAGUAGCGUGCAGGACGACGGCCCUAUGGGUUGUAAACUGCUUUUGUAUGGGGAUAAAGUCAAUCACGUGUGAUUGUUUGCAGGUACCAUACGAAUAAGGACCGGCUAAUUCCGUGCCAGCAGCCGCGGUAAUACGGAAGGUCCGGGCGUUAUCCGGAUUUAUUGGGUUUAAAGGGAGCGUAGGCUGGAGAUUAAGUGUGUUGUGAAAUGUAGACGCUCAACGUCUGAAUUGCAGCGCAUACUGGUUUCCUUGAGUACGCACAACGUUGGCGGAAUUCGUCGUGUAGCGGUGAAAUGCUUAGAUAUGACGAAGAACUCCGAUUGCGAAGGCAGCUGACGGGAGCGCAACUGACGCUUAAGCUCGAAGGUGCGGGUAUCAAACAGGAUUAGAUACCCUGGUAGUCCGCACAGUAAACGAUGGAUGCCCGCUGUUGGUACCUGGUAUCAGCGGCUAAGCGAAAGCAUUAAGCAUCCCACCUGGGGAGUACGCCGGCAACGGUG
rnacentral:rRNA from 1 species